rnacentral:rRNA from 1 species
AUUGAACGCUGGCGGCAUGCCUUACACAUGCAAGUCGAACGGCAGCAUAGGAGCUUGCUCCUGGUGGCGAGUGGCGAACGGGUGAGUAAUAUAUCGGGACGUGCCCUAGAGUGGGGGAUAACUAGUCGAAAGACUAGCUAAUACCGCAUACGAUCUACGGAUGAAAGUGGGGGAUCGCAAGACCUCAUGCUCCUGGAGCGGCCGAUAUCUGAUUAGCUAGUUGGUGGGGUAAAAGCUCACCAAGGCGACGAUCAGUAGCUGGUCUGAGAGGACGACCAGCCACACUGGGACUGAGACACGGCCCAGACUCCUACGGGAGGCAGCAGUGGGGAAUUUUGGACAAUGGGGGCAACCCUGAUCCAGCAAUGCCGCGUGAGUGAAGAAGGCCUUCGGGUUGUAAAGCUCUUUUGUCAGGGAAGAAACGGUUCUGGAUAAUACCUGGGACUAAUGACGGUACCUGAAGAAUAAGCACCGGCUAACUACGUGCCAGCCGCCGCCGUAA